CCUACGGGUGGCAGCAGUGAGGAAUAUUGGUCAAUGGGCGCAAGCCUGAACCAGCCAAGUAGCGUGCAGGAUGACUGCCCUACGGGUUGUAAACUUCUUUUAUAAGGGGAUAAAGUGAGCCACGUGUGCCUUUUUGCAUGUACUUUAUGAAUAAGGAUCGGCUAACUCCGUGCCAGCAGCCGCGGUAAUACGGAGGGUCCGAGCGUUAUCCGGAUUUAUUGGGUUUAAAGGGAGCGUAGGUGGGUUGUUAAGUUAGGGGUGAAAUGUCCGAGGUUAACUCGGGAACUGCCUUUAAUACUGUAGACCUAGAGUGUAGAAGCGGCAGGCGGAAUGUAUGGUGUAGCGGUGAAAUGCUUAGAGAUCAUACAGAACACCGAUUGCGAAGGCAGCUUACCAAGCUAUGACUGACGUUGAGGCACGAAAGCGUGGGGAGCAAACAGGAUUAGAUACCCCUGUAGUC
rnacentral:rRNA from 1 species